GCGCCCGUGGUGGAAUGGUAGACACACGAGACUUAAAAUCUCACGAGGGUAUCCUCAUGUCGGUUCGAGUCCGACCGGGCGCACCA
rnacentral:tRNA from 1 species